CUAAUAGUACAUAAAUAAUUUGAUUUUUAGUGGUCCAAAGGUAAUAUAUGAUCAUCAAUAUGGAUAUAGUUCACUCUGAAAGGCUUAAGAAAACCAUGCCUUUACAGCCUCUGCACCAAACACAAAAAUGUAACUGCUAACUUUCGAAUACAAAUGCCGCCGCGUGGCCACCUGCUCAAGUUGCUGUAAAACUUGCAUUUAGGUCUCCACUCAUUAGCAUUUUGGGAUGUGUGACCGUGCCUUAAUGUUCAUUUUUUAUAGGGGAGUAACGAUUUAUCGAAUUAAUCGAAUUGAUUCCUGUAUGAUCCAACCAGAUCUGAGGCAAGUUGUUUUUAGAAUCUCAGUUAGAAAUCAGUUAUGUUGAUAUUGGAAAGUACCCUUUGAUAGGGGUGUAACAGUUCAUCGAUUUAUACCCCUUUCAUCCAGUCAGAUCAAUCAGUCUGAGGUAGUCAAUCAAAUCGACCUUUACCAUUAUAAAAUCGUUUCAAAAUGAAAUGUAUCGAUAUUGUAAAAUAUCAUUUGGAUUGAGGCAUGGUAGAUAUAUUUUAUUAUAACCUAAAAAUGACCGUCACAGUGAACAACAUUCAUGUGAUGGCAGCAAAAAAUGAUCAAUCCAUCCUUAUAGUCCACUGUGUGGAAACACUGAAUUUGCAGACAUGUGACCAAACAAUGUGGUAGAAUGUUCCAAUAAUGUUCUGUUUGUAUUUUCUUGCUGUAGAAAAACAACAGUGGGGUGAACGCUAUGAAACUUAAAAGAUGACCUGGAUUGAUUUUAGGUCAGAGAAUCAGAUAUUAUGAUAUGAAUCAAAUCGUUAAAAUGAAUUGAUCCACUCAUAGGUUUUUUAGUUUUAACUUAGCUUUAACUUUUAGAUUGAAACAUUACUGAGUCAUUAAGAACUGUCACUGAAAGAAAGCAAAAAACCUAGGUAGAGAUAGUGGAGCUGCGUAGUGACUAGGGGCAUAAGACAUCUAAAUGAGGCUCAUUUAAAAAAAAA